UACGGGGGGGCAAGCGUUGCUCGGAUUGACUGGGCGUAAAGGGCGCGUAGGCGGUUUGCACAGUCAGACGUGAAAUUCCUGGGCUUAACCUGGGAACUGCGUUUGAAACUACAAGGCUAGAGUGUGACAGAGGGGGGUGGAAUUCCACGUGUAGCAGUGAAAUGACGUAGAGAUGUGGAGGAACACCGAUGGCGAAGGCAGCCCCCUGGGUCAAGAUUGACGCUCAUGCACGAAAGCGUGGGGAGCAAACAGG
rnacentral:rRNA from 1 species